rnacentral:rRNA from 1 species
CGGGAGGCAGCAGUGGGGAAUUUUGGACAAUGGGGGAAACCCUGAUCCAGCCAUCCCGCGUGAGUGAAGAAGGCCUUCGGGUUGUAAAGCUCUUUCGAAAGUGAAGAAAACUUAUUUCGUAAUAUGUUAUAAGUAUGACGGUAACUUUAGAAGAAGCACCGGCUAACUACGUGCCAGCAGCCGCGGUAAUACGUAGGGUGCGAGCGUUAAUCGGAAUUACUGGGCGUAAAGCGUGCGCAGGCGGUUUUGUAAGUCAGAUGUGAAAUCCCCGAGCUUAACUUGGGAACUGCGUUUGAAACUACAAGACUAGAGUGUGUCAGAGGGGGGUAGAAUUCCACGUGUAGCAGUGAAAUGCGUAGAGAUGUGGAGGAAUACCAAUGGCGAAGGCAGCCCCCUGGGAUAACACUGACACUCAGAGACGAAAGCUAGGGUAGCAAAUGGGAUUAGAUACCCCAGUAGUCCUAGCCGUAAACAAUGGAUACUAGAUGUUGAACAGAUCGACCUGUGCAGUAUCAAAGCUAACGCGUUAAGUAUCCCGCCUGGGAAGUAUGCUCGCAAGAGUGAAACUCAAAGGAAUUG